GAUGAACGCUGGCGGCGUGCCUAAUACAUGCAAGUCGAGCGAACGGACGAGAAGCUUUCUUCUCUGAUGUUAGCGGCGGACGGGUGAGUAACACGUGGAUACCCUCCCUAUAAGACUGGGAUAACUUCGGGAAACCGGAGCUAAUACCGUAUAAUAUUUUGAACCGCAUUGUUCAAAAUUAAAAGACUGUCUUGCUGUCACUUAUAUAUGUAUCCUCGCUGCAUUAGCUAGUUGGGAAGGUAACGGCUUACCAAGGCAACGAUGCGUAGCCGACCUGAGAGGGUGAUAGGCCACACUAGAACUGAGACAAGGUACAGACUACUACGGGAGGCAGCAGUAGGGAAACGUACGCAAUGGGAGAAAGCCGGACGGAGCAAAGCCGCGUGAGGGAUGAAGGUAUUCGGAUAGUAAAACUCUGUUAUUAGGGAAGAACAUAUGUGGAAGGAACUGUGAACAUCUUGAAGGUACCUAAUCAGAAAGCCACGGCUAACUACGUG
rnacentral:rRNA from 1 species